rnacentral:rRNA from 1 species
AUAGCGUAUAUUAAAGUUGUUGCGUUUAAAAAGCUCGUAGUUGGAUUUGCGGUCUAGGAUAGCGGUCCCCCAAUGGGUGGUCACUGCUUUUCCUGACCUAAUAUCUCCGGUUUUCCCAUGCUGCUCUUUACUGAGUGGCUUGGGUAGCUGGAAAAUUUACUUUGAAAAAAUUAGAGUGCUUAAAGCAGGCGUAAGCCUGAAUAGUGGUGCAUGGAAUAAUGGAAUAGGACCUCGGUUCUAUUUUGUUGGUUUUCGGAGCUCGAGGUAAUGAUUAAGAGGGACAGACGGGGGCAUUAGUAUUGCGACGUUAGAGGUGAAAUUCUUGGAUCGUCGCAAGACUAACUACUG